GCAAAGCGAUGCGCGUGAGCGAGGGGGCCACGCCCCCCGGUCGCUUCCGCCUUGCGCUGGUAGCCGGAAGCAGGAGCUGCCGAGGAGGGGAGCGAUGGAGGCAGAGGGGCGGGAGCCGCGGCAGCGCGGCCGGGAGCCGGCGCCGGCCCCAGCGAAUGGCGACUGCAGCCGCCCCCUGUCGCUCUCCGGACAGUCCUACUGGCUCGACGUGUGGCUCUUCGUCCUCUUCGACCUGGCGCUGCUCGUCUUCGUCUAUCUGCUGCCCUGAGCCCGCGGUGACAGCUCCUAGUCAAGAUGAGGAACCUUAUUUAUGAAAACAUACUUCGGAAGAAUAUACAUGCAACAGGACAACUGGAAAAUGAGACUCUGAAACCUGUUAAGCCACUGAGUGCUAGUGAUACACAUCGAUCCAUUCAUGGAUGUACAGAUUUGAGGGGGUCUGGUUCAUCUGUAGCCUAUUUACUUCAGUGACAAUGUAAAUUGUGCCUUAAGUUAAAUUAUUUCAAAAGUUUGAGGAUACUCUCGUUUCCAUAGCAGUAAUAUGGAUUGCUCAUUUGUCUUAAUGUUUAGUUUUUGAAUAAAGAUCAAUUGAAAAAAUGGAA